CUUACACUGCACAGCCAAAGAAAACCAAUUCUCUCUUCACUACGUUCUGGUUGAACAACUCCGAAGUAGCAGAAGUGGACACACUCUGCUAUUGUUCUCCACUGCUGCAGGAGCCAAAAUCUCUCCUCAUCCGCUGGAGGCAGAGCUGGGCAAACAACAAUUUGCACACUGCAUGGAAAGUGAUGCCAGGAACAUAGCAGAGGAAGAUGUCCUCAGGGUUUUCAAUUUGUAUGGGCUGUUAGCGGUUGAGACAACUGAGAAUUUUCUAUAGAAAUAGCUUUUGUUGGGUUGUUGUUUUUUUUUUUGUUUGUUUGUUUUUGGAAAAUGCUGAUUUAUUGAAUGGGGAGGGUAUGAGGAGCACUGCUGAAGGCCAGAGUUUGGGCUGGAAACGCACAGAGUUCUGCUUUGGGAACUGCUGCUGAUGUCCACCCCAUGCAGAUGAGCGAUGACUUCUGGCCUCCCCCAGCGAGCGCCCUGGGACCAUUUCUGCAGCGCAGACUGGAGCUCAGUUUACCAGGAAAUCCACGUUUGCAAUUUCUUCUCUCAGGUGGAUGGCCAGGGAGAGUCGCUGCUUCCUUGAACAGAGUUCGGAACAGGAAAUUGAGAAAAAGAAACCAACACAGCACACAGCUUGUCCAAGAGAAGGAGCUGACUGCUGGCUUUGCAGGCACUAUUUUUACGCCCAAAGGGUAUUUCCAAGCUCCCAAGGCUUAGUAAUAGAACAGAUCCCAGGGAGAUGUUGGGGAAGGGCUCUGCUGAUGAAAAGAGGUUUCUUCCUGUUUGCUCCCUGCUGGUGGGACGUCUGCCAAGCACAGUCAAUGCUGAGGAACACCUGCAUCCAUCUAAUAACGUGGGCUGAGGAAAAAUCAUGAGAUAAUCGAUAGGAAACCAGCUCUCAGAAGGAGAAAGUACUUUAAACGUCUGCUCUCAAGUGACUGUUUCUGCUGACAGGUGGAUGAUACACCGAAUCACACACACAGUCAGCACACACCUAAAUCAUCAAAACACGUUUGUACCACUCGCUGAGUUUGCCCUGGCACUGGAAG
ensembl:lncRNA